rnacentral:rRNA from 1 species
UGGGGAAUAUUGCACAAUGGGGGAAAACCUGAUGCAGCGACGCCGCGUGAGUGAAGAAGUAUUUCGGUAUGUAAAGCUCUAUCAGCAGGGAAGAUGAUGACGGUACCUGAGUAAGAAGCCCCGGCUAACUACGUGCC